GCUUAAGAUGACUAAGGCGUAUUAGUUUCCCAUUUGGGAAUCCACUCGUGCGCCGGUGUAUUGGUCUCUCUAGCCUUUGUGUUGGUUGAUCGCUAUGCUUUUCUAAAUGUUCUUCUGAGCAUUUACUUAGUUUGGCAUGCGGUUUGCAUAUCGAACUUGAUCUUGAUCUCAAAUCAGGCAAGACUACCCGCUGAAUUUAA
rnacentral:misc_RNA from 1 species